ensembl:ncRNA F22B3.15 ncRNA
UCUUUCUUUUAUUCACUACUAAUUUACUUAAUUUGACACUAAUAUGCCUGAUAAUGUGGAAGACAGAGAGACAUGGAGAGAGGACAACUGAAAUGUCUCCAUUUUUCACAAUUGGACAUUUCAAUGUUGUUGUCCGACCCCGAGUUG